GGGCGAGUGGCGGAACAGGCAGACGCGCACGGUUCAGGUCCGUGUCCCCGAGAGGGGGUGGAGGUUCAAGUCCUCUCUCGCCCACCA
rnacentral:tRNA from 1 species